AAAAAGACAAACUGUACGUUCCCGUGCCAACGUUUGACUGUCCGUCUUAUAUGAAGUUUUUUUAUAAUUAGUAUUUUCAUUGUUGUUAGAUGAUAAAACAUGAUUAAUACUUUAUGCGUGACUUAUCUUUUUAAUUUUUUUCAUAAUUUUUUCAAAUAAGACGGACGGUCAAACGUUGGACAUGAAAACCAGGGUUUGUCUUUUU
rfam:Oryza glumipatula chromosome 11, whole genome shotgun sequence.